GUCGACGUUUACACAAGCAAGAAAGGGGUUCCUUCCUUUGAACCCUAAACUCAUUAUUUGAUCAAAAUCAGAGGGAAAACAAGCUAGGAAUUUGGGGCUUCUACUAAAUUCGCGAUCAUCAAGACAAGGGGGUCGUAAGCUUGACUCGUGACAAGCUAUAUGGGAUCUUGGAGAAGAAUGGGUUAAACGGAUCAAGUACGCAAAGAAGCUCUAAUGGACACAAGUCAUCUGUUCAUAGGAGCGAAUUGCGAAUUGGAUAAUUGCAUUGUCAUAAAGUUUAAACGGGUCUAUGCGUCGACUCGAGCCAGGUAUAACUUAGAGUGUCGGACGAUGAUCAAGCUCAACGAAGAACCGAACACGACCAAAUUGCAAGCUUCUGCAUUAUGUAUUGUCAUUAUAUUAAAGGACAAACUUUCACAUGUUAUAUUGUAAAAAAAUCUUAAAUUGUAAAAGUUUUAAGAAAUCGUAUUUUUGGUCAAAUGGAAGGUGUAAUCGUAACUACACUUUUAUGAUCGAAAAUUUAAUGAAAA